rnacentral:rRNA from 1 species
UGGGGAAUAUUGCACAAUGGGGGAAACCCUGAUGCAGCGACGCCGCGUGAGCGAAGAAGUAUUUCGGUAUGUAAAGCUCUAUCAGCAGGGAAGAAAAUGACGGUACCUGACUAAGAAGCACCGGCUAAAUACGUGCCAGCAGCCGCGGUAAUACGUAUGGUGCAAGCGUUAUCCGGAUUUACUGGGUGUAAAGGGAGCGUAGACGGUUGUGUAAGUCUGAUGUGAAAGCCCGGGGCUCAACCCCGGGACUGCGUUGGAAACUAUGUAACUAGAGUGUCGGAGAGGUAAGCGGAAUUCCUAGUGUAGCGGUGAAAUGCGUAGAUAUUAGGAGGAACACCAGUGGCGAAGGCGGCUUACUGGACGAUCACUGACGUUGAGGCUCGAAAGCGUGGGGAGCAAACAGG